AGACCCGAAACCCGGUGAUCUAGCCAUGGGCAGGUUGAAGGUUGGGUAACACUAACUGGAGGACCGAACCGACUAAUGUUGAAAAAUUAGCGGAUGACCUGUGGCUGGGGGUGAAAGGCCAAUCAAACCGGGAGAUAGCUGGUUCUCCCCGAAAGCUAUUUAGGUAGCGCCUCGUGAAUUCAUCUCCGGGGGUAGAGCACUGUUUCGGCUAGGGGGCCAUCCCGGCUUACCAACCCGAUGCAAACUGCGAAUACCGGAGAAUGUUAUCACGGGAGACACACGGCGGGUGCUAACGUCCGUCGUGAAGAGGGAAACAACCCAGACCGCCAGCUAAGGUCCCAAAGUCAUGGUUAAGUGGGAAACGAUGUGGGAAGGCCCAGACAGCCAGGAUGUUGGCUUAGAAGCAGCCAUCAUUUAAAGAAAGCGUAAUAGCUCACUGGUCGAGUCGGCCUGCGCGGAAGAUGUAACGGGGCUAAACCAUGCACCGAAGCUGCGGCAGCGACGCUGAUGCGUUGUUGGGUAGGGGAGCGUUCUGUAAGCCUGCGAAGGUGACCUGUGAGGGUUGCUGGAGGUAUCAGAAGUGCGAAUGCUGACAUAAGUAACGAUAAAGCGGGUGA
rnacentral:rRNA from 1 species